rnacentral:rRNA from 1 species
AGCGAACGCUGGCGGCUGGCCUAACACAUGCAAGUCGAACGAACCUUUCGGGGUUAGUGGCGGACGGGUGAGUAACACGUGGGAACGUGCCUUUAGGUUCGGAAUAACUCAGGGAAACUUGUGCUAAUACCGAAUGUGCCCUUCGGGGGAAAGAUUAAUCGCCUUUAGAGCGGCCCGCGUCUGAUUAGCUAGUUGGUUGAGGUAAUGGCUCACCAAGGCGACGAUCAGUAGCUGGUCUGAGAGGAUGAUCAGCCACAUUGGGACUGAGACACGGCCCAAACUCCUACGGGAGGCAGCAGUGGGGAAUCUUGCGCAAUGGGCGAAAGCCUGACGCAGCCAUGCCGCGUGAAUGAUGAAGGUCUUAGGAUUGUAAAAUUCUUUCACCGGGGACGAUAAUGACGGUACCCGGAGAAGAAGCCCCGGCUAACUUCGUG